rnacentral:lncRNA from 1 species
CAGACAACUUCUUUGGACGAAACUAAACAAAAUGGAAUUACUUGGCCCAAGAGCACUAACAUUUAGGUUCUUGAUAUAUUGCCACAUUGGAGUCCAAAAUAGUGUGCAUCAACUUAGAUUGCCACAGACAGUAUUUAUAUCUUUUCCAAUAGUUCUUGCAAGAUUUGAAAAGGAAGAUAAUAUUUCACUGUUGUCUAAUUAUUUACUUUUUUGUUGUCUAAUUAAUUACUUUUUUGAAAGUAAACAUUUUGUAUUCAGUUAUAUAUUUUUUCUACAAAAUGUCUACCUAGAGAAUGAGUGUUUUUUUAAUAAUUUAUUUCUUUUUUUAAAAAAUUUAAAUUUUUUUAUUAAUAUAGAGAUGGGGGUCUUGUUAUGGUGACCAGGCUGAUUUAAGAUCCUCCCACCUUGGCCUCCCAAAGUGCUGGGAUUAUAGGUAUGAGCCACUGCACCCAGCUUAAAAAAAAAUUGAUUGCCAAGUUCUCUUUACACAUGAAGGGUAUACGUUUCUUUAAUACAUUAAAGGUAUUUUGUUGUAAUUUUUUUCCCCAGUUUGUCAUGUUCUCAUCACUUUUGAUUACCUUCCGAACCACACAUUUGUGUAUGUGUGAAUUCAGACGUGCAAAUAAUUUUCUUUGUGGUUUCUUCCCUUUUAUGCUUCUAAAGUAUUUUCCUAGCGAUCUUAUAUACAUAUAUCCAUUUAAAUUUAUUAUAGUAAUCUUAAAAAAUACUCAUCUAUAUUUUGUUUCAUUAUUUAGCAGAAGACAAGGAUAUAAAUAGAUGAUUCUUUUUCAAUUAAUUAAUUACCCCAAAUUAUUUAUUGGAGAGGUAUUCAAACUUUUUGGAGCACAACCCACAGUAAGAGAAAAAAUAAAUUUUACAUCACAAUCUAGAACACGCUGACACACGUGAACACUUAUAUACAUACCUAUAACUGAAAUGAAAGUGUCUAAAAUAAUUUUUAUCCUCAGUAUUAUGUGAUGAAUUCUAAUAUUUUCUAUUAUAUUAUAUUCCUUUCCUUUCCAUCCCAUUCCGUUUCAAAUAAAAAAAAACUGCCUGUGGUUCACAAAAUUGAUCUAACAAUUUAUUAAUGGUUCUUUCUGGAAAAUAUGACACACUGAAUUCUUCUCUGGUGAUCUGUACCUUAUCUUAUUUUGAGUUCUGAUAUUCUGGUAUAUGUUAAGGAACUGUAAAUUCUGUUCCAUUAGUAUUGAUUUCUAAGUACUAUUAUAAUGUUUUAAUGACUUCAGCUUUAUAAUAUGGUAGAAUGUUCUAUAGAACAGGUCCCUUCCUCAUCACUCUAAAUUUUAAGAUUUAUCAGAGCUAGUCUUCCAUAUUUAUUUUUGUUGGUUAGUGUAAUCAUUUUGUCACAUUUUAUUUUAUAAAGAAAACUCGGCACUAGACACAGUGGCUUACACCUGAAAUUCCAGUACUUUGGGAGGCCAAGGCUGGAGGAUCACUUAAGGACAGGAGUUCAAGACCAGUCUGGGAAACAAAGUGAGACCCCAUCUCUGCAAAAAUUAAAAAUAAAAAAGUAAGCUGGGUGUGGAGUCGUGUGCCUGCAGUCUCAGCUACUUGGGAGGAUGAAGUGGAAGGAUCACUUGAGCCCAGGAGUUUGAGUUUGCAGUGAGUUAUGAUCGUGCCAUUGCACUCCAGCCUAGGUGAUAGAGGAAGACCUUAUCAUCAGAAGUAAAAAAAAAAAUGCAAUUAUAAUAGUAAAUUAAUUUGGGAAAUGAAGUCAUUUUUUCUAUGCAAGAACAUGACACUGCUUUUUUUAUUUCUCUGAGUAUUAGCAAUGUUUCUUAAGAAAGACCUCAUAUUUAUUAGUAAGUUCAUUUCUGAUUAGAUUAUACCUUUUUGUUGCUAUUAUGAAUAAAAUGUUUUCUAUUAUUUUCUAACAUUAUUUUAUGUAAGAAAAUUCAUGACUGAAGCUUAUAAUAAAGUUCUAAUAAUUU